UCCACUUUACCAAUACUUACAGGAUCUGGGACACACAGACUUUGAAAUAUGUUCUUCUUUGUCACCAAAAACAGAAAAAUGCACAACAGAGGGACAACAAAAGCCUCCUACAAGAGUCCUACCAAAAUACCUGGGAUAUAGUAAUCACUCAAUGAAUAUAAACUGCACUUACUGGCAUGCUCAAGGAAUGGGCUAUUAAGCAAGGUAUCCUGUUAAAAGUGGCUGAAACCAUCAAAAGUUGGAUUUUUUUUUCUCAGUGCAAUAAGAAAGAUGACUUACUUCACAAGUUGGAUAUUGGAUUCCGACUCGACUCAUUACAUACCAUCCUGCAACAGGAAGUCCUGUUACAAGAGGAUGUGGAGCUGAUUGAGCUACUUGAUCCCAGUAUCCUGUCUGCAGGGCAAUCUCAACAACAGGAAAAUGGACACCUUCCAACACUUUGCUCCCUGGCAACCCCUAAUAUUUGGGAUCUCUCAAUGCUAUUUGCCUUCAUUAGCUUGCUCGUUAUGCUUCCCACUUGGUGGAUUGUGUCUUCCUGGCUGGUAUGGGGAGUGAUUCUAUUUGUGUAUCUAGUCAUAAGAGCUUUGAGAUUAUGGAGGACAGCCAAACUACAAGUGACCCUAAAAAAAUACAGCGUUCAUUUGGAAGAUAUGGCCACAAACAGCCGAGCUUUUACUAACCUCGUGAGAAAAGCUUUACGUCUCAUUCAAGAAACCGAAGUGAUUUCCAGAGGAUUUACACUGGUCAGUGCUGCUUGCCCAUUUAAUAAAGCUGGACAGCAUCCAAGUCAGCAUCUCAUCGGUCUUCGGAAAGCUGUCUACCGAACUCUAAGAGCCAACUUCCAAGCAGCAAGGCUAGCUACCCUAUAUAUGCUGAAAAACUACCCCCUGAACUCUGAGAGUGACAAUGUAACCAACUACAUCUGUGUGGUGCCUUUUAAAGAGCUGGGCCUUGGACUUAGUGAAGAGCAGAUUUCAGAAGAGGAAGCACAUAACUUUACAGAUGGCUUCAGCCUGCCUGCAUUGAAGGUUUUGUUCCAACUCUGGGUGGCACAGAGUUCAGAGUUCUUCAGACGGUUAGCCCUAUUACUUUCUACAGCCAAUUCACCUCCUGGGCCCUUACUUACUCCAGCACUUCUGCCUCAUCGUAUCUUAUCUGAUGUGACUCAAGGUCUACCUCAUGCUCAUUCUGCCUGUUUGGAAGAGCUUAAGCGCAGCUAUGAGUUCUAUCGGUACUUUGAAACUCAGCACCAGUCAGUACCGCAGUGUUUAUCCAAAACUCAACAGAAGUCAAGAGAACUGAAUAAUGUUCACACAGCAGUGCGUAGCUUGCAGCUCCAUCUGAAAGCAUUACUGAAUGAGGUAAUAAUUCUUGAAGAUGAACUUGAAAAGCUUGUUUGUACUAAAGAAACACAAGAACUAGUGUCAGAGGCUUAUCCCAUCCUAGAACAGAAAUUAAAGUUGAUUCAGCCCCACGUUCAAGCAAGCAACAAUUGCUGGGAAGAGGCCAUUUCUCAGGUCGACAAACUGCUACGAAGAAAUACAGAUAAAAAAGGCAAGCCUGAAAUAGCAUGUGAAAACCCACAUUGUACAGUAGUACCUUUGAAGCAGCCUACUCUACACAUUGCAGACAAAGAUCCAAUCCCAGAGGAGCAGGAAUUAGAAGCUUAUGUAGAUGAUAUAGAUAUUGAUAGUGAUUUCAGAAAGGAUGAUUUUUAUUACUUGUCUCAAGAAGACAAAGAGAGACAGAAGCGUGAGCAUGAAGAAUCCAAGAGGGUGCUCCAAGAAUUAAAAUCUGUGCUGGGAUUUAAAGCUUCAGAGGCAGAAAGGCAGAAGUGGAAGCAACUUCUAUUUAGUGAUCAUGGGGUAAAGUCCGCAUGGAAUUAGAGGGGGAAAGUCUGCACUGGAACCUGCUGUGGCCAUUUUUUUUCUGUUGUUGCUGCUUCUCUAGUGGAGUUACUGCAGCUUAGGGAUGGUUCCUGGAAGUGGACACAUUUUACAAAAACGUUUUUUAAAUACACGCCAGCUCUUCGAGAAGCACUUUUUUCCUUCCGUCAUGCUUCAUACUAUAUUGUAUUGUACUAACCCCUCAUGCUGGGAUGAGCGACUGCCUAGCAAGCAACCCACUGCCUACUAACAUCAAGAGGGGCUAAAUAAAACUGCAUUUUCCUUGCAAGGACAACUUCUACCGUAUGAAUAUAUAUUAUAUUUAUGUAUUAUAUUUUGUACAAUAGUUGAUCUUGAAUGCAGACUUUAUUUCAUUUGUAUUUUUCGUGGUACUACAAAAUGUGUAGAAGUUAUGGCUUUUCUUUCAUUAGGGUCUUGUUAGGUGGUUGGCAAGUAAGUUAAAUUGUAUGUUGCAUUUUUUUCCAUGCUGUUUUAACUUGUAAAUAUAUAUGUAUACAUGUGGAAGAUAUUAUUAUUAUCUAGAUUACUUUAAGCCUUUUAUCUGAUGUAUUAUCAGUGAAAACCAUGCUGCUCAUUCCCUAAUACAAUGGUUCUCAAACUUUAGUGUGUAUCAGAAUCAAGAUGAGGGCUUGUAAAAUAUAGCUGGUCCCUACUCCCAGAGUUUCCAUUUCAGGAGGUCUGGGAUCAGGCCCAAGAAUUUGCAUUUUUAACAAAUUCCUAGGUGAUAACUGAUAAUGUUGGUUCAGGGAACACACUUUCAGAACCACUGCUUUAAUAUUUUAAAUAAGAUAAUAUGUGAGGUGUCAUAAAAACCUUCAUCAAAUCCCUAUCUCAUUUCAUUUCUUAGGCAUUUUCUCUCUUAUAAAGUUUCCUGGAUUUAUAAAUUUUCAUUGAUUUUACUAGAAAGUUUUAUUUAGCUUUUAUUUAUUUAUUGUUCUUUUUAAGAAAAAAACUGAGAGUUUGAAUUAAAAGUUUAAAUCAUUGCUAGGUCCUUAGUUAUUUUUUUUCUUUUUUCUUUUUUUUUAUUUGAAGCCGUGUUGAAAUCCUUGUCUCCUGUAGACCCAGUGGAACCCAUAAGUAAUUCAGAACCAUCAAUGAAUUCAGAUAUGGGAAAAGUCAGUAAAAAUGAUACUGAAGAGGAAAGUAGUAAAUCCGCCACAACAGACAAUGAAAUAAGUAGGACUGAGUAUUUAUGUGAAAACUCUCUAGAAGGUAAAAAUAAAGAUAAUUCUUCAAAUGAAGUCUUCCCCCAAGGAGCAGAAGAAAGAAUGUGUUACCAAUGUGAGAGUGAAGAUGAACCGCAAGCAGAUGGAAGUGGUCUGACCACUGCCCCUCCAACUCCCAGGGACUCAUUACAGCCCUCCAUUAAGCAGAGGCUGGCACGGCUACAGCUGUCACCAGAUUUUACCUUCACUGCUGGCCUUGCUGCAGAAGUGGCUGCUAGAUCUCUCUCCUUUACCACCAUGCAGGAACAGACUUUUGGUGAUGAGGAGGAAGAACAAAUAAUAAAAGAAAAUAAAAAUGAGAUAGAAGAAAAGUAAGAACCAAGAUUCAUGUGAAGUGAUAUUAGAUUGUUCCUUUUACAAAAGUGUUUAGCUUCAAGACUGGAAAGGGAAUAUGAGUGUAAGUUUACUAUAUAUAAAGCUAAGAUGUGGAUUUACAGGAAGAACCCUGGUUUGAAUGACUGAUCUGAAAUUAGUAGUUACCUGUAAAUGGCAGAUCUUUUAGGAAAAUAAGAGAAAGGUAAGGGCUCUUUUGAAUAAACUGCUGUUUUAUUUGUGGCACAACUGAUCAAUCUUGGAAAUUCUUUAAGUAUUUUUAAUAAGAAAUGAAUUAUCAUUUCUUGCCAGAAUUUGCUACCUUAAGGUGAUUGGGAAAAUUCUGUUGCAAGAACAUUAACAUUUAGUAUGACUCCUUUUUACUGUAUUCUUGCAGUUAAUAACUGCAGCUAUUAUGUUAAUAACAAGUUGUUUGUAUUUUAUUUUUGUUUAUACCAGUCUUAAAGAUCCAGGUUCUGAAUAAAAAAAUUAAUUGAUACAA
rnacentral:sRNA from 1 species